CGGUUUCGAUUUGCUGAGGGCAAAUAAAGUGAAUAUGAGCAUCUAUUCCUCCGGCUGUCACAAUCAUCCCUUCUGCGGCUAUGACUUCCGUUGCCGCUCCAAUCACCAUAUCGACCCCAUCCAUUAACAGCGGGUUCCCCGCUUUGCCUAUGGAGGCAAUCAUUCCAUCUUUUAUGCCGAUAUCCGCUUUGUAAAUACCUGUAUAGUCAACAAUAAUCGCGUUUGUUAAUAUGAGAUCGACGCAUUCAUCGCUUGUCGCCAAAGGAUGCUGCCCCAUUCCGUCUCG
rfam:Bacillus smithii strain DSM 4216, complete genome.